rnacentral:rRNA from 1 species
UACACUCCUGCGGGAGGCAGCAGUGGGGAAUUUUGGACAAUGGGCGAAAGCCUGAUCCAGCAAUGCCGCGUGUGUGAAGAAGGCCUUCGGGUUGUAAAGCACUUUUGUCCGGAAAGAAAUCCUUGGCUCUAAUACAGUCGGGGGAUGACGGUACCGGAAGAAUAAGCACCGGCUAACUACGUGCCAGCAGCCGCGGUAAUACGUAGGGUGCGAGCGUUAAUCGGAAUUACUGGGCGUAAAGCGUGCGCAGGCGGUUUGCUAAGACCGAUGUGAAAUCCCCGGGCUCAACCUGGGAACUGCAUUGGUGACUGGCAGGCUAGAGUAUGGCAGAGGGGGGUAGAAUUCCACGUGUAGCAGUGAAAUGCGUAGAGAUGUGGAGGAAUACCGAUGGCGAAGGCAGCCCCCUGGGCCAAUACUGACGCUCAUGCACGAAAGCGUGGGGAGCAAACAGGAUUAGAUACCCCUGUAGUCCCAUG